GGUGUAGCUCAGUAGUAGAGCGCCCAUCUAGCAUGCGGGAGGCCCUGAGUUCAAUCCCCAACACC
rnacentral:tRNA from 1 species